CUUCCUAGCUAUGUGCCAGAGACACGAACACGUAGGUCUAGUAGGAAAUGUGUACCAGGAUAUUCAGGAUAGGAUUGUGUGUGACAGUGAGAACUGGAUGCAAUCCGGAUGUCCAUGCUAAAGUACAGAUUAAUUAGUGCUUGACUGACUUACGCUUAGGCAACAUGGAUCUUGUCAAGGAAGUGAUGGUGCCACUGGCUUUUGUAAGUCACUUUAUUCACUCUGGAGAAAACGAAACCAUGGAAGACAUGUAAUAGCAUGUUUAAAAUGCUGAAAAAUAUAAGAGACACCUACCAUCCAAGAAUUAUAUGAUCAGUGAAAACAUCCUUAAUAUGAAAGCAAAAUAAAGACAUUUUCAGACAAAACAAAAGCUGUACAUUUCCAGCUAAGAGGAGUUUUUUGGAUGAAGGAAAAUGUCUGCACAUAGAAACAGGUUCCAUACAUAAAAGAUGUGCUGCACGCUAAGUCGCUUCAGCCGUGUCCGACUCUUUGCGACCCUCUGGACUGCAGCCUGCCAGGGUCCUCUGUGCAUGUGGUUCUCCAGGCAACAACACUAGAGUGGACUGCCAUAUCUUUCUCCAGGGAAUCUCCCUGACCCGAGGAUCGAAUCCACAUCUCUUAAGUCUCCUGCAUUGGCAGACGUGUUCCUUACCACUAGCGCCAUCCCAAAAGUGUUAGUUGCUCAGUCUG
ensembl:lncRNA